CCUCCAUCUCUCGCCUCUUUCCAUUUCUUGUUCUCCUUCAAUCUCUUUAUAUCUCACUCGGUUUCUGAUUUUUACUUUUCCUUUCACUAAAGAGAGAUGAUUUUUUUCUUCCAUUGAUUUUCAAGGGAAAGAUUACAUUCCUGGAUGAGAUCAAGCCUAUCGAAAGCCAGCAAUCUCACUCUUGUAAAGAAUGUGCUUUCUCCUGUCCCUAUUUAUAUGGUUUUAUUCUUUUUGCUGCACCGAUGAAAGUUAUUGAAGCUUUAGAGAAAAAAAUUCGAGAUUUUCUUUGGGACGAUAGUGAAGAAAAAGAUAACCAUUGUCUAGUUGUUAGAGAGAUCGUGCGUACCCCGUUCAAGAAUGGUGGAUUAGGGGUUAAGUCUCUUUGAAGCAUGGACAGAGCUCUUGUCUCCAAAUGGUUGUGGAGAUUCAAUAAUGAAAAAGAUGUCCUCUAGAGAAAAUCGGUAGCUUCAAAAUAUAGGUCGAUAAAUUUGGAUAGAGAAACCGAGGCUCCAAAAGGUGCAGGUGGUUACGGGGUCUAGAAGGGCAUUUACAAGCAUCUUGAAUUCUUCAAAGGAAACUGUACUCUACAAGUGGGAGAAAGAAAUUCAAUUAUGUUUUAGGAGGAUCAUUGGGCAUGUACUGCUCCAUUCUCUUCUUCUUUUCCUAAUAUUUAUGCCAUUGCCACUACAAAGCAUUUGACAAAUGCUAGAUGCGCUCAUAGGCUUCAUCAAGGAGGGGAUGGAAUUUUUGGAUUGGAAAGACGGUUAUCUCAACUUCGGAUUGCUAAGAUAGGUUCUCCCACGUACUACAACUAUCGAAGGACUUCAAUUAGGUCCGGGACCAAAUUACAUCAAAUGAAGCUCAAUAUUUUCUCGGUUAACUAUUUAUAUGCCAAACUACAAAACGAAGCUGAUUUACCCAAUUUACAUCUCAGUAUCUAGUCUAGGUCGUGGCCUCAAAAGAUAUGGUUCUUUUUUUGCUUGUACUCCACAAGAGAUUAGCUACUAUGGACACUCUACACAUAUAAAAGGAAAAUUAGUCGUAAAUGGGUGCUUGUUGUGUCGUAAAGCUGGAGAAUCAUUGGAGCACCUAACGAUUUCCUUGUAGUUUUUCUUUUGAAAUUUAGAGGCACUUCGUGAA